rnacentral:miRNA from 1 species
CUCCGAGGCCACGUUCUGAAUCUUCACCUGCACCACCUCCCCUGUGUGUGUGUGUGUGUGUGUGUGUGUGUGUGUGUGGGGCAGGGGUGCCUGAUUUACUGGUUGU